UUCCUUAGAGGAAAAUAGCAACAAACUGGAGGUCAAGAUGGCUAUGAUUUGGUGAUUUCUCCACAGACUAUCUGGGCAAGUUACCCUUCUCUCUGUGAGCCUUGUUUUCCUGACUGGUAAUAUGAAAGGGCUGCCAAAGAUGACUGGCAAGAUUCCCUCCACCUGUAGGCAUUUCUGUGCUUCUCGGCUGUUACUGCUUUCACAGCUGUUACAUAUUUGGUUUGGUUUUUUGGUUUUUAGCCACAUGCUGAGCAAAUUUACCUCCGAGAUAAGCCCGAACACUUUUGAGCAAUGAAUUCCUUAGUAGUGACUUGUGUUCAGUGCCUUGGGAAGCUGCAUGGACCCUUUAAGGCUGUGGAGGGACCACAUUACCCAUAAUUUACUACCAUUCUCUGCGUCCGCACCAGCCACCACAGCACUGGAAUGAGCAUCAUCCUGGGCUCGAGUUUGCCGCUCCAAAGUUAAAAAAAGCCAGGCACAGCUACAUGCUCAGGCUUGCUAAUGAAACAGAAACAGGCACUGCCAGGUUCCUAUCAGUCUCUGAUCCUGCUGUAGAUCACAAACACUGAAUCCUCACGUCACCCUGGCUGCUGCUUUCACUGCUACGUAUCUGCUAUCAACUACUAAAUAUUAUGUGCUGAAUCAAGGGCACUUCUCAAUGACAUCCUCCUGGCUGAGCUCCAUCCCAGAGCUUGCUUCCUGGGAAACGCAACCUGUUGUAGAGUUGCCAGGUAAACUCCAGGAUGCCCAGUUAAAACUUAAAUUGAGAUAAAGAACAAUCGCAACAUUUUUAGUUAGAGAGCAGGAAAAAAUGAGGACCCGACCUUGGACUUGAUCAGAGUUGCCAAGCUCAGAAGAAGGUGAAACUCACAGAGAAGUUCGCUGUACCAAGGUGAGGACCCAG